rnacentral:rRNA from 1 species
AUUGAACGCUGGCGGCAUGCCUUACACAUGCAAGUCGAACGGUAACAGGUCUUCGGCUUCUUCCGAGUGGCGGACGGGGGCGUAAUACAUCGGAACGUGCCCGAACGUGGGGGAUAACGGAGCAAAAGGUUGGCUAAUACCCCCUAAGAUCGACGAAUACAAACGGGGGACCGCAAGGCCUUGCGCGACCGGGCGGGCCGAUGGCAGAUUAGGUAGUUGGUGGGAUAAAAGCUUACCAAGGCGACGAUCUGUAGCUGGUCUGAGAGGAUGACCAGCCACACUGGGACUGAGACACGGCCCAGACUCCUACGGGAGGCAGCAGUGGGGAAUUUUGGACAAUGGGCGCAAGCCUGAUCCAGCCAUGCCGCGUGCAGGAUGAAGGCCUUCGGGUUGUAAAGUGCUUUUGUACGGAAAGAAAAGACGCUGGUUAAUACCUGGGGUUUAUGACGGUACCGAAAGAAUAAGCACCGGCUAACUACGUG